GGUUAAGCGACUAAGCGUACACGGUGGAUGCCCUGGCAGUCAGAGGCGAUGAAGGACGUGCUAAUCUGCGAUAAGCGUCGGUAAGGUGAUAUGAACCGUUAUAACCGGCGAUUUCCGAAUGGGGAAACCCAGUGUGAUUCGUCACACUAUCAUUAACUGAAUCCAUAGGUUAAUGAGGCGAACCGGGGGAACUGAAACAUCUAAGUACCCCGAGGAAAAGAAAUCAACCGAGAUUCCCCCAGUAGCGGCGAGCGAACGGGGAGCAGCCCAGAGCCUGAAUCAGUGUGUGUGUUAGUGGAAGCGUCUGGAAAGGCGCGCGAUACAGGGUGACAGCCCCGUACACAAAAAUGCACAUGCUGUGAGCUCGAUGAGUAGGGCGGGACACGUGGUAUCCUGUCUGAAUAUGGGGGGACCAUCCUCCAAGGCUAAAUACUCCUGACUGACCGAUAGUGAACCAGUACCGUGAGGGAAAGGCGAAAAGAACCCCGGCGAGGGGAGUGAAAAAGAACCUGAAACCGUGUACGUACAAGCAGUGGGAGCACGCUUAGGCGUGUGACUGCGUACCUUUUGUAUAAUGGGUCAGCGACUUAUAUUCUGUAGCAAGGUUAACCGAAUAGGGGAGCCGAAGGGAAACCGAGUCUUAACUGGGCGUUAAGUUGCAGGGUAUAGACCCGAAACCCGGUGAUCUAGCCAUGGGCAGGUUGAAGGUUGGGUAACACUAACUGGAGGACCGAACCGACUAAUGUUGAAAAAUUAGCGGAUGACUUGUGGCUGGGGGUGAAAGGCCAAUCAAACCGGGAGAUAGCUGGUUCUCCCCGAAAGCUAUUUAGGUAGCGCCUCGUGAAUUCAUCUCCGGGGGUAGAGCACUGUUUCGGCAAGGGGGUCAUCCCGACUUACCAACCCGAUGCAAACUGCGAAUACCGGAGAAUGUUAUCACGGGAGACACACGGCGGGUGCUAACGUCCGUCGUGAAGAGGGAAACAACCCAGACCGCCAGCUAAGGUCCCAAAGUCAUGGUUAAGUGGGAAACGAUGUGGGAAGGCCCAGACAGCCAGGAUGUUGGCUUAGAAGCAGCCAUCAUUUAAAGAAAGCGUAAUAGCUCACUGGUCGAGUCGGCCUGCGCGGAAGAUGUAACGGGGCUAAACCAUGCACCGAAGCUGCGGCAGCGACGCUGAUGCGUUGUUGGGUAGGGGAGCGUUCUGUAAGCCUGUGAAGGUGUGCUGUGAGGCAUGCUGGAGGUAUC
rnacentral:rRNA from 1 species